rnacentral:tRNA from 1 species
GCGGUCGUGGCGGAACUGGUAGACGCGCAGCGUUGAGGGCGCUGUGGAGGCGACUCCGUGGAAGUUCGAGUCUUCUCGACCGUA